AUACGUAGGGGGCGAGCGUUGUCCGGAAUGAUUGGGCGUAAAGGGCGCGUAGGCGGCCCGGUAAGUCUGGAGUGAAAGUCCUGUUUUUAAGAUGGGAAUUGCUUUGGAUACUGUCGGGUUUGAGUGCAGGAGAGGUAAGUGGAAUUCCCAGUGUAGCGGUGAAAUGCGUAGAGAUUGGGAGGAACACCAGUGGCGAAGGCGACUUACUGGACUGUAACUGACGCUGAGGCGCGAAAGUGUGGGGAGCAAACAGGAUUAGAUACCCUGGUAGUCCACACUGUAAACGAUGAAUGCUAGGUGUAGGGGGUAUCGACCCCUUCUGUGCCGCAGUCAACACAAUAAGCAUUCCGCCUGGGGAGUACGGCCGCAAGGUUGAAACUCAAAGGAAUUGACGGGG
rnacentral:rRNA from 1 species